ensembl:lncRNA
GAUAUAAUUUUGAAACUUUUAUGCAUAUAGAAUAAAGCAUGAAUUACUCCCUUGGGGAGGAGAUUGUUACAAAUGAAGAUUCCUAGGCCAGACUGGCUACAGCUGGGCCUCAGAGCAAACGUGUGGAAUGAUGGAUAUAAGGCUGAAUUUCUUAACUGUCGAAAAAGUAAGAAAGAACUUGAAAUUAGUAUGAGAAAUAAAACAGAUGACGGAAACUUUUUCGUGAAACAGUGCAACUACAAUAUGCGAAAAAGUAGACAGGUAAAGCACACACACUUGGGAAGUGGAAACAUCUCGAAGUACCGUAGAUGUGAGAAAUAGAAAGAUGACACUGCAGAGCCAUAGUCAGCUGAGCAUGGACGUUGAGAUACUUGUCCGGUAAUUAUCAGGCCUUGAAGUAUAUGAAGUCCAUUUUUGCACCCCCACCCUCUUCUCUCCCUCUCAGUUUUCCACCCUGCAUUUUCACAGUCUGGGCGGCCCAGGAAAUGCCCUGUUGUCUCGGCUUUCCCUUGGCUCCACAAUUCACAUUUGCCUGCUAUCCCCACUUGAUCAGAUACACCAGCCGCUGGGAGAGGCUCAGGGGGUUUCUCUUCCGGGCAACUUCUUUUUCACAGUGAGUGCCCUGACAUCCAGAUGUCUCAACCGAAAGGACUGAGUUCAUAGUGAGAACCUCAGGUAUUCCACAGAGCCCAGAGGAGGAGGUAGCCAGGGGCAGGUGGAUGGUCUGUUCAGAUGUGCUCGUAGCAGCAGCCGAAGUGAGGAGAGUGUAAUUCACAAGAACGUCACUUCCCGUUUUUGGAGCUCAUCAGUGGGCAGGCACUGUGCAUUUUACUCAUUGUCUGAUUUAAUACACAGAACGAGCCUUUCGGCUAAGUUUUACGGAUAAACUGAGGAGGACAGUAUGUAAAUUAACGGGCACAGCUAUGUUCCAAUAAAACUUUGCAAAACUGGCAAAGAGCUGGACAUUGUGGCCCCUCUAGGUCCACCCACAGAGGCUCUGGCUUAUCCAGCAGCUGCCUUGAAGGGCUGGACAGCUAAGCCCUAAAUGCAGGGAGGUUAACACCUAGUGGGACAGGCAAAAAGGCCAAUGAGAGAGCAGAAGCAGGAAGGUGCUGGCAGAUAAAUUGCUCAUAUUUCCCUCCUCCCCCAAUGGAUGUUUCCGACAAGUGGUUUCAUACAGCCCUGAGCAACCAGCUGUGUUUCUUGGAAAUCUGUGGCCAGUUCAUAAAGGUACCACUAUUAAUUUGCUCUUUCUCCUACCCUGCCUUCCUUCCCUUUUGUCCUCACUCCUGCUGUCCUGGGAUCCCAUGGUGUCCCCAGUAAAGCUUUAGCACACAAUUUGCCUUAGCCCCUGCUUUCUAAGGAACCCAGGCUAAGACAUCUGCCUUCCUGAUAAAGGAUUUCAGCUGCUCCAGCCACAGGCCUCCUUUGGGUCCAUCUGAUGGUCAGCAGCACCUUGGCCUUUCAAUUCAUUUCAUUCAACAGAAAUUUACUGAGCACCAUGUGCAAAUUGAUUGAACAAAGAUAAAAAGACAGUGUCCAAUAAAUAUGGGAGUGCUACCAGGCCUUAAUAAAGAAGAACGCAGAAAGGACAAAGGCAUUGCCAGCACCAAAUAAACUAGUCAUAGAUAUAAGUGGAGGACGUGGAAAGAGAUAGAGAUCUCAUUGCAGUUAAGUUCGCAUGUUCUGCAGAUUCUGAUUCCGGAUGUCU